UGAGGAAGCCAGGCAAUCGCGUGCCGAAGAGGCGCGAGGAAAGUCCGAACUCCAUAGAGCAGGGUGCUGGCUAACGGCCAGUGGGGGUGACCCUAAGGAAAGUGCAACAGAAACAUACCGCCUGCCUGUGCAGGUAAGGGUGAAAUGGUGAGGUAAGAGCUCACCGGCAACCAGGUGACUGGUUGGCCGUGCAAACCCCACCCGGAGCAAGACCGAGCAAGGGGAUAGCCGGUUUACGGCUAGCGAGUUGCUCGCUCGUGAACCCCUGGGUUGGUCGCUUGAGGCGUCAGGUAACUGGCGUCCCAGAUAGAUGAUUGCCACCCGUGUCGUCGAGAGGCGGUGCGGGCACAGAAUUCGGCUUAUGGCUUCUCUCAACUC
rnacentral:RNase_P_RNA from 1 species